UAUAAUCUUUUAUACAUGUGCCUGUGCUUUUAACCAGUGCUUCCUGCAUCUGUACUGUUAGCUGGGCAUUUCAUCAACCUGAAUUAAGCUUAGCUUACUAACAGCAGCUCUGACUAGUUCUUACACUUAGCAAUAUGUAUUAUCCUGUAAACUGCAUGUGCCACUCAUCCCAGCAAGUAUAGCAGUGUCUGUCUUUUCUGCAUGUCUUCAAUGAGCAGCAUUUCUCUUUGGCAUUAGAUUGCAAAGCCACUUUUCCUUUCCAGGUUUGGAAAUUCAUUGGUCUUCUAAUGAGCUCAGAAAACUGAAAAUAUUAUGGAUUGCUCCCUGUAAGUGCUUCCAGACUACUCAUACAAGCUAAGAGAAGCAGGCUGAUUGCAAAGAGCAGAGUUGCUUACUAUGCACAAGUAGCUGAGAAGUCAAAUCCCUGAUGCUUCCCCUCCACGCUCUGUCACCGACGUGGUCAACAGCCACUCUGCUCUGUGUGCUGCCACGGAGUGACCCGCCUAGCGUGGAGCAGCGUGGGAAAGUGUGGUAACACAACGAAAAGCCUAAAUACCAGGUCACCGAGAGAUGACGUUUUGUGUAACUUUACAGAAAGUUUUAUGGCUCCUUCUGAAUCUGACUUUAUUGAACUUGUGACGAGAACACAUGACUUCAGUACUAAAAGGAUGUGAAUACAGGUAGCAUCUAGACAACUCAUCAUAUGGACAACAUGGAGUGAGGGAAAACUCCUGGCUUGCUUUAAAGAUCUUGUUCAGGAAAACUUAAUUUUUGAGGUCACAAAGAGAACAGGAAAAAAACUGAAUAACUUGGAAUUAAGAUAAAAGAAUAAUAAAAAUAUAUAAAAUUAACUCCACAUAAACCCCAAGACAAUCAAGAUAACCAUCCAACUUCUCCUGGACAAGAGGAGGAAGAUGUCUCUGCUCCCAACCCUUCUCCACUCAAAGACCCCAGGAUGUUGACACCUCCAGAUAGUGACUGUCAGCAUUAUCACCCACAAUAGCACUGGCAGGGGGAGCAUAACACCAAAGAAAAAGAGAUACUAGGAAGGAUUUUCUAUAUAAAAUAUUUAACAGAUAUUGAGGUUUUUCUGUAUUAAUUUGGAUUGUUAGCAUACAGUGUUGUUAUUAAGCCAAUAAAUGGGAUUAUUAGCCUGUUAAAACAUUAACUCUACUAUUAAAUUCUUGUCUUCACAUGUAAGGGGCUCUCUCCCUUCUGCUCACAGUAAAAUUUUGAUCAUAGUAGAAGGCAAGAGGAUGGUCUUCCCAUAGCUGCAUGGACUAAUUUCAGAAACGGUAAGACAGGUAAAAGAAAAAUAUUGUACUGCCAGGAAAAAUUCAAGGCACAGAGCAGAAUAGAGGAGAUAGCGCUUAAAAACUGUGAGUCUUCUUGGACCUUGUAACAGUUAUCUGCCUAAAUACUGCAACAAACUAGAUUUGCAUAAUUAUAGGAACCACCAGGAUCAAAGCACAAGGCAAAACAACAUUCAAUGAAGAACCCCUCCCCGCCCUCACCCCGAAAAAAGAAGAGGUGAAGUAUUUGAAAGUAAUAUCAUAUUUUGUACCUGUGCUAUGGACAUUUCAUUAACUAAACAAGCUCCUAAGAACAAAUUGCCUUAUCAAAUUAUGAUUCCUCAUAUGUGACUAAGAUAUGUGUUGGAUCAGUAACUUUUCAGACUUAUUCUUUACUUUAUGUAUAAUGUAUUGUAGUUUCUAAAAAUAGCCUAGCUGUUCAGCAAAGCAACUUAAGUUUCUCAGACCAUAGGGAGCCCAUCACUUUUUUGUAUGACCAAUUCACACAUUGCAAUCAUUCUUCUUUGUAAGGCUAUGAUGUGCUUUAUUUCUCUCUGGUGGCUGUAUGUACUAUGAUAUAAGCUUUGGAGUAUAGCAUUUCAGUUUAAGUAAAAAACUUUUUUCA